rnacentral:rRNA from 1 species
CGAAAGCCUGACGGAGCAAGACCGCGUGAGGGAAGAAGGCUCUUGGGUUGUAAACCCCUUUUCUCUGGGAAGAAAGUUGUGAAAGCAACCUGACGGUACCAGAGGAAUCAGCAUCGGCUAACUCCGUGCCAGCAGCCGCGGUAAGACGGAGGAUGCAAGCGUUAUCCGGAAUGAUUGGGCGUAAAGCGUCCGCAGGUGGCAGUUCAAGUCUGCUGUCAAAGACCGGGGCUUAACUUCGGAAAGGCAGUGGAAACUGAACAGCUAGAGUAUGGUAGGGGCAGAGGGAAUUCCUGGUGUAGCGGUGAAAUGCGUAGAGAUCAGGAAGAACAUCGGUGGCGAAGGCGCUCUGCUGGACCAUAACUGACACUCAGGGACGAAAGCUAGGGGAGCG